rnacentral:rRNA from 1 species
UACGUAGGAGGCAAGCGUUGUCCGGAAUUACUGGGCGUAAAGCGCGUGUAGGCGGUCUGAAUAGUCUGCUGUGAAAGCGCCUGGCUUAACCGGGCGAGGUCGGCGGAAACUCUCAGACUGGAGGCCGGUAGAGGGGGGUGGAAUUCCCGGUGUAGUGGUGAAAUGCGUAGAGAUCGGGAGGAACACCUGUGGCGAAGGCGGCUCCCUGGGCCGCGCCUGACGCUGAGACGCGAAGGCUAGGGGAGCGAACGGG